rnacentral:rRNA from 1 species
AACGCGAAGAACCUUACCAGGUCUUGACAUCCUCUGACACCUCUGGAGACAGAGCGUUCCCCUUCGGGGGACAGAGUGACAGGUGGUGCAUGGUUGUCGUCAGCUCGUGUCGUGAGAUGUUGGGUUAAGUCCCGCAACGAGCGCAACCCUUGAUCUUAGUUGCCAGCAUUCAGUUGGGCACUCUAAGGUGACUGCCGGUGACAAACCGGAGGAAGGUGGGGAUGACGUCAAAUCAUCAUGCCCCUUAUGACCUGGGCUACACACGUGCUACAAUGGGUGGUACAAAGGGCAGCGAAGCCGCGAGGCCAAGCGAAUCCCAUAAAGCCACUCUCAGUUCGGAUUGCAGGCCGCAACUCGCCUGCAUGAAGCCGGAAUUGCUAGUAAUCGCGGAUCAGCAUGCCGCGGUGAAUACGUUCCCGGGCCUUGUACACACCG